GAUGAACGCUGGCGGCGUGCCUAAUACAUGCAAGUCGAGCGAACAGACGAGGAGCUUGCUCCUCUGACGUUAGCGGCGGACGGGUGAGUAACACGUGGAUAACCUACCUAUAAGACUGGGAUAACUUCGGGAAACCGGAGCUAAUACCGGAUAAUAUAUUGAACCGCAUGGUUCAAUAGUGAAAGACGGUUGUGCUGUCACUUAUAGAUGGAUCCGCGCCGCAUUAGCUAGUUGGGAAGGUAACGGCUUACCACGGCAACGAUGCGUAGCCGACCUGAGAGGGUGAUCGGCCACACUGGAGCGGGAACACGCUCCAGGGUCCUACGGGAGGCAGCAGUAUGGAAUCUUCCGCAAUGGGCGAGAGCCUGACGGAGCAACGCCGCGUGAGUGAUGAAGGUCUUCGGAUCGUAAAACUCUGUUAUUAGGGAAGAACAAAUGUGUAAGUAACUAUGCACGUCUUGACGGUACCUAAUCAGAAAGCCACGGCUAACUACGUG
rnacentral:rRNA from 1 species